rnacentral:misc_RNA from 1 species
UUGCUGACCGCUCGCUCUCCUCCACUGCUUUUGUGUGCAGCUGUAGUAGCCCGUGCUCGUGCAGCCCCGCCGCUGCUUCUCCUUGGCUACCCACAACAACGUUGUCUCUUCACCGGAGCGGCUCUCCCCCUCCCUUCUUCUGCACACACGCACAUACACACACUCAAAGACGAAGGCAGCAAGGAUGCAGAGCUGCUUCGCCGCCUGCUCACAGGUAGUCUGCGUGGCAGAGGACACGGCGGUGGCGUUUUACGCGCCCAAGUCGCUGCGGAAGUUCCGCGUGGAGCGGCUCAACGGAUCGCGCGUAUGCGGGAUGUAUGUGCAGAUCAUUUCUGGCGCAAAGGCGGUGCUGCACGUCAUCGAUGCCGAGGCUACGUUGUUCGAGUUUGCAAUCGAGGGUGGUGCGCCAUCCUUGGUGCGCACAGUCUCGAUUCGACUCCCACGGGCCUCACUUGUCCCGUCCACCUCAACUGAAGAGAAUGAGGAGGUUUCAGAUAGGCGGCAUCAGGGCUUAACGAGCUGGACGGCGAACGGCGAGGCGGCCGCCACCGCCUCCGUCGUCGUGGCUGCUCAGUUCCAUGUGCAGCAGGCACAGUUGUUUGCUGUUCUGCUCACGAAAGUCGGCGUUUACGAGGCCGCGCUAGGCUCUGCCUCACCCGUGGGGGCGACGAGCGCGCCGUCGACGGUGGUGGUGCACACCUUCAAGGAAGCCGUGCCACACGGGUAUCUUUCUGUUGGCCAGUUUACUGGCCUGGUCGUUGUAGCCGUCCCUCACGCGCGUGAGUUCUUCUACUCCCUCUUCACGGACCGCCUCUCCGCCCACCAGCCGCACCGCCCUUCUUGUCCGCCUCUCCUGCCGCGCGCCGUAAAUGUGCAGAUCCAGAGUAUUGCCUGCAGUCCAACGAGCACGUCGGUCGCCGUCGGUGGCAGGCGCGGUGAGCUGCUCAUCUACGUGGAGGUUCAAGAGGCACACUGCUUUGCCGACCACUGGCAUCACACACCUCUGACAGCGCUUGCCUUCGCUUUAGAUGGCAGCGCAGUGUACACUGGCGGCCGCGAGUCUGUGCUACUAAUCUGGGAUCUGGUGUCCUACGGCCACAAGAAGGUCAAGGUGCAGCUGGGCACGCUGCAAGGGAUAACGCUCUUCAGCAGUGAAGGGGCGCAGCUGUUGCUGUCAUGCGGCACGUCAACGCUCGCCGUUGCGGACUUGCUGCAGAUGCGCGUGACGACGUCGGCGGAGGGCAUCGAGUGGGCCGCUGAGGAUGUGUGCACCGGGCUCGUCGUCGAGCAGUGGCGCGGGAGCCCGGCGGUGAUUCUGACGGGGAUGCCGAAUGUGCUGCGUGUCUGCGACCCGUACACGCAGCAGUCUAUCUACUCGCUCCACGUGUCCUCGCAGAUGGAGACGAUCCCGAGCCCGCCCCGCCAUGGAAUUCAGUUCGUGGGCAUUCUGAACGACAGCCGUUCUCUCGUGACGUACGAGUCCUUCUCCUCGACGGUGCUGCCCCCGCUGCUGCGGUUCUGGGAGUAUGACGCGCCACUUAAGCAACAUGUGGAGACGCAAACCGUCUACUCCCCGCAUCGCUCCGCCGUGCUGGCUCUGGAGGUGGAGAAGCGAGGGCGGCGAGUGUUCACGCUGAGCUGCGAGGCGAUGAAGUGCUGGGCACAGACUGCCUUCACCGCACAGGACACAUACGGUACCCCGACUGGCGGCUGGCACAACCACUCAGCGAUGGCGACUCCCUCCCAGCAGGUGCAAACGAUGGCCCUCUCCGCAGACGGCUCGCUCUGCUUCGUUGCGGAUGACUGUCUGCACGUGUACUCGGUGCAGGACUGCAGGCCCGGCGAACGCUGGCCACUGCUUCAACUUCUGCCGCAGUACACGGAAACGCAACCGCUGCGCCGGAUAGUCGUGUCACCCGACUCCCGGCACGCUGUGGCAGCUGGGAAGCGGCACAUCUUCUUUUGGGCACUGGACAGGUGUUCAGAGGAGCCGACCGUAUUCAGCGUGGGCGAGACGUGCAUCACUGCCUUGAGUGCCUUCACGGACACGACGGUGGUAGCCGCCCUCGAGGACACAUCCCUUGUGGAGCUUCGCUGCUGCGCCGCCGGCAGCAGUAAGGGCCCGCAGCUGGGUGAGAUGGUGCGUCGUAUUGCGAACGCCUCUCGUUUUCCUUUGCGCCACAUCGCCCCACUGCACAUGAAUGGCCAGCGUCUCGCUGCUGUGGACGCCGUGACGGGCUUUAAGAUUUUGCAGCUGCCUACAGGAGCCGCGGCCGUGGCGCAGCCCUCCGUGUACGAGUGGGCCGGCACCAGCGAUGAGGCGAGCGGCGCGGGGGCCGUGGCAGAGGGUGACAAAACCGCACGACUUCAGCUGCAGUCCUUCUUCAAGGAGGUGACUUCGAUCCAAGACUCACAGGAGGUGCUGAUGACAGCGAACCAAGAAGGCGCCUUGGCAACGGCGCAGCAGACAGCGCAGGCGGACCGGUGGCUGGCUGAGGUGCUCGGUGAGCCGGCCUACACGGUGCCACCGAUGAGCGCUGUUCUCUCCACGUACCUGCAGCGUCGGCCGUGCUAGAAUCGAGAGAGUGAGAGAGAGAAACAGGAGGAGCAAGUGGCGGUGGGCACUCCUGCCAUCCCUGGCGGCUGCCUGCAUGCAUGUGGGUUUGCGAGUGUGGUGUUGCUCUGUACGCAGCAGCCACACGUGAGUGGACGUUUUACAUUGGCGUGUCUGCGCGCCUGUGGGCCCAUGGCUGGUGCAGCUAUGUGCGUGUUGCUCUUGUAUGCGUGCACGUGUGUGCGCGUCUACAGUGAUGCAGGUAGAGUUAGCAGUGGUGCGAUCCGGCCAUGCCGGCCGAGAGAAAAAGAGAGAGGGCGUGUGUGUGUGUGUGUGGAAUACAAGUCUGGCAGCCACGUCACUCGUACGGCUGGCUUGCACUGGUCCCUUGCGUCGAGGAGUCAGGUCGCAUCUCUCCCUCUCUGUCCAGCCGCUCCUUUCUACACGGUUUCUCCCGCCCCUCGAUGGGGGCUUUUGCUUGUUUGUUUCGCCUUUAACGCUUAACUCUAAGCGCACUCAAGGGCGGUCGUUGUGGUGGGGUGGGGUGAGGUGGGGGGGUGAGAGCCAUACAGCGCUGAUGACUUCCUCCUCUCUCCACGGCAGCGAGCCAGCCCGUCUAGCCAUACGCACACGCAAAUAGAUACGUACAAAAACAACGUUUGGGGCGAGCGGGUUAUCGCCCACCUCUCGGGCGCCUCGCUUUUUUUUCGGGCGCGCGUUUAACGGCACCACCCUCUUUCCGCCCCCUCAAGCACACGAGCUUCCAAAAGGAUGAUGGAUUGGGGGCCGGUGCCGCCGCUUGAUCACCUAGAUCGUCCCCUCGUGUCUCGUCGGAUGCCGCAGCUGGUGAGGGUGUGCGUGCGAGUCGAUGGAACGGCAGCAGAGGCCCACUCUUUUUUAUUACGUGCGGCGUGCCCACACCACACCAUACCCCCUUUGCACGAAAAGGCAUGUGUGCGCGCGGCUCCGCGUUUUGCCUCAACCUGGCCGACUCUAUGUACGCGUCCUCUUUUUCUUUCUCGGGCUGAGAGUUGCCCGCACUGAUGCUGGACAG